UGUCCUCCAUAGGAGGUCCAUAUUGAGCAGAUUCUUUUUGGUAUUGGGUGGUGGAACCGGAGCGUGCUCCAUCCACUCCAUGCAUUGACCUGGUAUUGCAGUGCUUCCAGGACGGGUGC
ensembl:snRNA U2 U2 spliceosomal RNA